AUGUAACGUCUCCUUCAUCAUUACUGUUGAUGCACAUUAGAAGACUUUCUGACUGGCUGUGCAGCAGGACUGGAUGUGAUGAUGGAUCACUCUUUUCUCUGUGUGCUGGGGUUAUUCUGAAUUUGUCAGAAGUGUGAGGAUUAGUUGAGAGGAUGGGACUCAUUUUAUUCUGUGUGCUGGAUUUAUUCUGGCUGUAUACACUCCUCUGCACUGGACACACUCAAGGAGCUGUUCUGACCAUUGAUCCUAACGGGUCGACUUUUUAUACUGGAGAGUCUGUUACCUUCAUAUGUGACAUGAAGGAAGGAACAAACACUGACUGGGAAUACACAAUCCUCAAGGAUGGUGGACAAAUUUCCUCCUACUCAA